rnacentral:misc_RNA from 1 species
AAGAACACUCAUUUUUUGGUUAAUAGGACAUUCUGAGCCAUCCAAUGAUCGUAGAACUAUUAAUGGAAAGAAGACACCAACUUCACCUUUGAGACUUUCCCUGAAUCGCAACAUAAGUACUGAGAAGAUUCCAGUAGCAUACUGAAAUAUGACAGGAGAAUGUGAAACUGAAGCCCGCAACAAAGCAUAUGAAAGAUAUGCUUUUACA